UGAUCCCUGGCUCAGGACGAACGCUGGCGGCGUGCCUAAUACAUGCAAGUCGAGCGGAAUGAUGAAGAAGCUUGCUUCUUCUGAUUUUAGCGGCGGACGGGUGAGUAACACGUGGGCAACCUACCUUGUAGAUUGGGAUAACUCCGGGAAACCGGGGCUAAUACCGAAUAAUCCAUUUUGCUUCAUGGCAAGAUGUUGAAAGGCGGCUUCGGCUGUCACUACGAGAUGGGCCCGCGGCGUAUUAGCUAGUUGGUAGGGUAAUGGCCUACCAAGGCGACGAUACGUAGCCGACCUGAGAGGGUGAUCGGCCACACUGGGACUGAGACACGGCCCAGACUCCUACGGGAGGCAGCAGUAGGGAAUCUUCCACAAUGGACGAAAGUCUGAUGGAGCAACGCCGCGUGAGUGAAGAAGGUUUUCGGAUCGUAAAACUCUGUUGUAAGGGAAGAACACGUACGAGAGUAACUGCUCGUACCUUGACGGUACCUUAUUAGAAAGCCACGGCUAACU
rnacentral:rRNA from 1 species